rnacentral:rRNA from 1 species
CCCUUAGAUGUUCUGGGCCGCACGCGCGCUACACUGAUGCAUUCAACGAGUCUAAAACCUGCUCUGAUAGGGGUGGGUAAUCUUUUGAAUGUGCAUCGUGAUUGGGAUAGAUGAUUGCAAUUUUUCAUCUUCAACGAGGAAUGCCUAGUAAACGCAAGUCAUCAGCUUGCAUUGAUUACGUCCCUGCCCUUUGUACACACCGCCCGUCGCUCCUACUGAUUGAAUGAUCCGAUGAAUAUCAUGGAUUGAGGAUGCAAGCAGGUUCGCCUGUCUUCAUCUUCGAGAAGUGAAGUAAAUCUUAUCAUUUAGAGGAAGGAGAAGUCGUAACA